rnacentral:rRNA from 1 species
UACGUAGGUGGCAAGCGUUGUCCGGAUUUACUGGGUGUAAAGGGCGUGCAGCCGGGAAGGCAAGUCAGAUGUGAAAUCUGGAGGCUCAACCUCCAAACUGCAUUUGAAACUGCUUUUCUUGAGUAUCGGAGAGGUAAUCGGAAUUCCUUGUGUAGCGGUGAAAUGCGUAGAUAUAAGGAAGAACACCAGUGGCGAAGGCGGAUUACUGGACGACAACUGACGGUGAGGCGCGAAAGCGUGGGGAGCAAAC